AACGAACGCUGGCGGCAUGCCUAACACAUGCAAGUCGAACGAGACCUUCGGGUCUAGUGGCGCACGGGUGCGUAACGCGUGGGAACCUGCCCUUAGGUUCGGAAUAACUCCCCGAAAGGGGUGCUAAUACCGGAUAAUGUCUUCGGACCAAAGAUUUAUCGCCUUUGGAUGGGCCCGCGUUGGAUUAGCUAGUUGGUAGGGUAAAAGCCUACCAAGGCGACGAUCCAUAGCUGGUCUGAGAGGAUGAUCAGCCACACUGGGACUGAGACACGGCCCAGACUCCUACGGGAGGCAGCAGUGGGGAAUAUUGGACAAUGGGCGAAAGCCUGAUCCAGCAAUGCCGCGUGGGUGAUGAAGGCCUUAGGGUUGUAAAGCUCUUUUACCCGGGAUGAUAAUGACAGUACCGGGAGAAUAAGCUCCGGCCAACUCCGUG
rnacentral:rRNA from 1 species